GACGAACGCUGGCGGCGUGCUUAACACAUGCAAGUCGAACGAUGAAGCCGGAGCUUGCUCUGGUGAAUUAGUGGCGAACGGGUGAGUAACACGUGAGUAACCUGCCCUUGACUCUGGGAUAACUGCUAGAAAUGGUAGCUAAUACCGGAUACGACCCUCGGAGGCAUCUCCAGGGGGUGGAAAGAAUUUCGGUCAAGGAUGGACUCGCGGCCUAUCAGCUAGUGGGUGAGGUAAUGGCUCACCCAGGCGACGACGGGUAGCCGGCCGGAGAGGGUGACCGGCCACACUGCGACUGAGACACGCCCCAGACUCCUGCGGGAGGCGGCAGUGAGGAAUAUUGCACAAUGGCCGCAAGACUGAUGCAGCAACGCCGCGUGAGGGAUGACGGCCUUCGGGUUGUAAACCUCUUUUAGUAUGCAAGAAGCGAAAGUGACGGUACCUGCAGAAAAAGCACCGGCUCACUACGUGCCAGCAGCCGCAGUAA
rnacentral:rRNA from 1 species